rnacentral:lncRNA from 1 species
UGGAAAUAGCCAAGCUCUCGGCGGAUGGAAUCGAGAGUUCGGGCACCUUGGUGCGCAGCUCCAUAGAGGUAGGUUGGCACUGCAUUGACAAGAACACUUUUCGUUUUUAUGGGAUUAAUGUGUGAGAUGAUUGCCACAAUCUAACUUCUAAUCCUAUCGCUGUACCCGAAAGAGAAAAAUAACCUCCAUAUGAUGAUGAAUGAAUGGGCAGAAAGUGGUACUGCUCGAAGCAUGGUAUUCCCUGGAACAAUGUCCAAUUGAAGGAUGCACGACUGAUCACAGUACUCACCACAUAGGUUAAGGCCAGUUCUAGUGGGUUCCAUUCGCUCUCUCCAACACCGUCCAUCCAUUGAAUGGACAGUGCUAGUGCAAGGCUGAGAUACAUAAAUACCAUAGUUCAGGUAUUACUGUGUGCCUCCAUUCGAAAAAAAAAAGUAUAUAAUAAGACCACUGUGUGCCUCCAUUCGAAAAAAAAAAGUAUAUAAUAAGACCAUUUUUCGUUAAAACAAGAGGUCUCAUAGUUAUUAGAUGUGAAAUCGGUAGUUACAUACAUGUCUUAACCAUGGUAAUAAAUUUUUUAACUCUCCAACACAUACCAAGCUGGUUUCUUGUCUAACACUUAAAAGCAUACCAUGACCUCCUUGUACUAAAAAGAGACCGUAUUAUAAUAAUAAAUCCCAUUUGAAAUUAGUGUUUCUAUCCCAAAAAAAAAAGGAAAAAAAUCCCAAAAUUUGCUGAACAUUUCUUUUGAGAAAUGUUGGGGUUAACUGACCUUGGAGUUUGUUGCCUAACUCGUUCGCAGCGGAUCUAGCGAGCCGAGUCGCAUCUUCAAGCGAAGCCUCAGCCAAAGGAUGGAAGCAAAUAUGGUCCACCACGCCUAGCCGAGGGUGUGAACCGG